GGUGGGAUCACGAUCAGUAGAAUGGUAGAAUGCUGACGUCACAAAAAUAAUUCUACAAUCGACAAUUUUGGUAUCACGUUAACACGCUUGGGAAAGUAGAAUCGGUGCUCGGCAAUGUUCGGAUAUUCUACUAGCCAUGUUAAAAAUAUCGCUUCUUCUUCUUAAAAAUAUUGCUGUUUGACGUGUGGUUGUCUUUAUUUUGUGGUGGUUGUAUUCAAAAAGCUAACCUAAAGAAAGAUUAAAUUUGUGAUUAUUUUCAAUUUGUAUAUUUUUGUCUUGGGUUGUUUGGAACUAUUUUAUUAGAAAUCACUAAAUUUUUAAAUUUUACCUGUGACUAGAGAACAUUGUUAUAUUAAGGUAUUUUUAUUCUUGGUAUGAAACAAUGUUAAGACAAUACUGUGUGCUUUUUCAGUCCUAUGAAAGAAAAUGUUUUGGAUGUAAUAGAGAAGUACUACAACUUUGUUAUGAAGAUUUGUCUUUAUGUUAUUUUUAUAAUGUUCAUGGAUUAUAUUUGUUUUUAUGUUUUCUUCAGUUUAAAUAAAGUUUGUUUUACCCA